GCCCGUCACACCAUGGAAGUUGGGGGCGCCCGAAGUUGGACAUUUAAUAGUUUACCUAAGGCGAAAUCAAUGACUGGGGUGAAGUCGUAACAAGGUAGCGGUAUCGGAAGGUGCCGCUGGAUCACCUCCUUU
rnacentral:rRNA from 1 species